rnacentral:rRNA from 1 species
UACGUAGGUGGCAAGCGUUGUCCGGAUUUACUGGGCGUAAAGGAUGCGUAGGCGGAUACUUAAGUCAGAUGUGAAAAUCCCGAGCUUAACUUGGGAACUGCAUUUGAAACUGGGUAUCUAGAGUGCGGGAGAGGUAAGUGGAAUUCCUAGUGUAGCGGUGAAAUGCGUAGAGAUUAGGAAGAACACCAGUGGCGAAGGCGACUUACUGGACCGUAACUGACGCUGAGGCAUGAAAGCGUGGGGAGCAAACAGG